UACAGAGGGGGCAAGCGUUGUUCGGAAUUACUGGGCGUAAAUGGCGCGUAGGCGGCCUGCUAAGUCGAACGUGAAAUCCCCGAGCUCAACUCGGGAACUGCGUCCGAUACUGGCAGGCUUGAAUCCGGGAGAGGGAUGCGGAAUUCCAGGUGUAGCGGUGAAAUGCGUAGAUAUCUGGAGGAACACCGGUGGCGAAGGCGGCAUCCUGGACCGGCAUUGACGCUGAGGCGCGAAAGCCAGGGGAGCAAACGGG
rnacentral:rRNA from 1 species